rnacentral:rRNA from 1 species
AUAGCGCAUAGUACUGUGAAGGAAAGGUGAAAAGGACCCCGGGAGGGGAGUGAAAGAGAACCUGAAACCUUGUGCUUACAAACAGUAGGAGGAGCAUAAGCUCUGACUGCGUACUUUUUGUAGAACGGUCCGGCGAGUUACUAAUAUUAGCGAGGUUAAAUACUAACAAGGUAUGGAGCCGAAGGGAAACCGAGUCUGAAAAGGGCGAGAAGUUAGUAUUAGUAGACCCGAAACCGGGUGACCUAUCCAUGUCCAGGUUGAAGUUACCGUAAAAGGUAAUGGAGGACCGAACGCACAUCUGUUGAAAAAGGUGGCGAUGAGGUGUGGAUAGCGGAGAAAUUCCAAUCGAACUCGGAGAUAGCUGGUUCUCCUCGAAAUAGCUUUAGGGCUAGCCUUGAGGUAAAGUCUAAUGGAGGUAAAGCACUGAUUGGACGCGGGUCCCCAAAAGGAUACCAACUUCUAUCAAACUCAGAAUGCCAUAUAGAUAUACUCAGGAGUCAGACUAUGUGAGAUAAGUUUCAUAGUCAAAAGGGAAAGAGCCCAGACCGACAGCUAAGGUCCCAAAGUGUGUGUUAAGUGGAAAAGGAUGUGGGAUUUCAUAGACAACUAGGAUGUUGGCUUAGAAGCAGCCAUACAUUUAAAGAGUGCGUAAUAGCUCACUAGUCGAGAGAACCUGCGCCGAAAAUAAUCGGGGCUAAAACACACCACCGAAGCUACGGAUUUCCUGCUUAAGGUAGGAAGUGGUAGAGGAGCAUACUGCAAGGACGAAGCCUGAUUGAGAGAGAAGGUGGACGAAGCAGUAGAGAGAAUGCCGGAAUGAGUAGCGAGAUAUAUGUGAGAACCAUAUAGGCCGAAUAUCUAAGGUUUCCUGAGUGAAGCUAAUCUGCUCAGGGUAAGUCGGGACCUAAGGCGAGGACGAGAGUCGUAGUCGAUGGACAACUGGUAGAGAUUCCAGUACUAUGUAUAAUCAGAACUGUGGGGACGCAGGAGGAUAGAUGGACCGCGGAAAGGGAAGACGCGGCCAAGUACAAAGUCAAGUUAGGUAGGCAAAUCCGCCAAACGAUGAUGAAGUACGACGGGGACUGAAAGAAAGUAAGGAAGUCAUUGAAUCCACACUGUCAAGAAAAGCCGCUAUUGCGUUAUACGUACCCGUACCGCAAACCGACACAGGUAGACGAGGAGAAAAUCCACAGACCGACGGGAGAAGUGUUGUUAAGGAACUCGGCAAAAUGACCCCGUAACUUAGGGAGAAGGGGUGCCAUGUGAGAGCAUGGUCGCAGAGAAGAGGCCCAAGCGACUGUUUAGCAAAAACCCAGGUUUCUGCGAACCCGAAAGGGGAAGUAUAGGAGCUGACGCCUGCCCGGUGCUGGAAGGUUAAGGGGAGGGCUCAGGAGAAAUCCGAAGGUUCGAACUUAAGCCCCAGUAAACGGCGGCCGUAACUAUAACGGUCCUAAGGUAGCGAAAUUCCUUGUCAGGUAAGUUCUGACCCGCACGAAAGGUGUAAUGAUUUGAGCACUGUCUCGACAACACGCCCGGUGAAAUUGAAGAACCAGUGAAGAUACUGGUUACCCGCAACAGGACGGAAAGACCCCAUGGAGCUUUACUGCAGCUUAAUAUUGGGAUUCGGUAUUGUAUGUACAGGAUAGGAGGGAGACUAAGAAGCUAGCACGCCAGUGUUGGUGGAGUCGAUGGUGGGAUACCUCUCUUAUAAUACUGAAUUUCUAACCUACUUCCGUAAUCCGGAAG